rnacentral:rRNA from 1 species
GAUGAACGCUGGCGGCGUGCCUAAUACAUGCAAGUCGAGCGAACAGACGAGAGUGCUUGCACUCUCUGACGUUAGCGGCGGACGGGUGAGUAACACGUGGGUAACCUACCUAUAAGACUGGGAUAACUUCGGGAAACCGGAGCUAAUACCGGAUAAUAUUUAGCUUCGCAUGAAGCAAUAGUGAAAGACGGUUCUGCUGUCACUUAUAGAUGGACCCGCGGUGUAUUAGCUAGUUGGUGAGGUAACGGCUCACCAAGGCAACAAUACAUAGCCGACCUGAGAGGGUGAUCGGCCACACUGGGACUGAGACACGGCCCAGACUCCUACGGGAGGCAGCAGUAGGGAAUCUUCCGCAAUGGACGAAAGUCUGACGGAGCAAUGCCGCGUGAGUGAAGAAGGUUUUCGGAUCGUAAAACUCUGUUGUAAGGGAAGAACAAGUACGUUAGUAACUGAACGUACCUUGACGGUACCUUACCAGAAAGCCACGGCUAACUACGUG